CCUACGGGGUGCAGCAGUGGGGAAUAUUGCACAAUGGGCGCAAGCCUGAUGCAGCCAUGCCGCGUGUAUGAAGAAGGCCUUCGGGUCGUAAAGUACUUUCAGCGAGGAGGAAGGCAUUGAGGUUAAUAACCUUGGUGAUUGACGUUACUCGCAGAAGAAGCACCGGCUAACUCCGUGCCAGCAGCCGCGGUAAUACGGAGGGUGCAAGCGUUAAUCGGAAUUACUGGGCGUAAAGCGCACGCAGGCGGUCUGUCAAGUCGGAUGUGAAAUCCCCGGGCUCAACCUGGGAACUGCAUUCGAAACUGGCAGGCUAGAGUCUUGUAGAGGGGGGUAGAAUUCCAGGUGUAGCGGUGAAAUGCGUAGAGAUCUGGAGGAAUACCGGUGGCGAAGGCGGCCCCCUGGACAAAGACUGACGCUCAGGUGCGAAAGCGUGGGGAGCUAACAGGAUUAGAUACCCCAGUAGUC
rnacentral:rRNA from 1 species